rnacentral:rRNA from 1 species
GUAUAAGAGACAGCAGUAGCCACGGGAAUACAGAGGGUGCGAGCGUUAAUCGGAUUUACUGGGCGUAAAGCGUGCGUAGGCGGCUUUUUAAGUCGGAUGUGAAAUCCCUGAGCUUAACUUAGGAAUUGCAUUCGAUACUGGGAAGCUAGAGUAUGGGAGAGGAUGGUAGAAUUCCAGGUGUAGCGGUGAAAUGCGUAGAGAUCUGGAGGAAUACCGAUGGCGAAGGCAGCCAUCUGGCCUAAUACUGACGCUGAGGUACGAAAGCAUGGGGAGCAAACAGGAUUAGAUACCCGGGUAGUCCCUGUCUCUUAUAA